CCCGCACAAGCGGUGGAGUAUGUGGUUUAAUUCGACGCAACGCGAAGAACCUUACCAGGAUUUGACAUCCCUUGAUAACCUAAGAGAUUAGGUAUUCUGCCUUCGGGUAGACAAGGAGACAGGUGGUGCAUGGUUGUCGUCAGCUCGUGUCGUGAGAUGUUGGGUUAAGUCCCGCAACGAGCGCAACCCUUGUUCUUAGUUGCCAGCAUGAAAGAUGGGCACUCUAAGGAAACUGCCGGUGAUAAACCGGAGAAGGUGGGGAUGACGUCAAAUCAUCAUGCCCUUUAUGUCCUGGGCUACACACGUACUACAAUGGCCUGUACAAAGGGUAGCGAAGCUGCGAGGUGGAGCCAAUCCCAAAAAGCAGGUCUCAGUUCGGAUUGUAGGCUGCAACCCGCCUACAUGAAGUCGGAAUCGCCAGUAAUCGCGGAUCAGCAUGCCGCGGUGAAUACGUUCCCGGGCCUU
rnacentral:rRNA from 1 species